AUUGCAUAUCCUUUAUCAUACAUGGCAUAAUAAAUACCAUGCUUCCUAUUAAUGAUAUGUUUGCUCCAUAGGGAGGAUUACUGACUGUGGAAGGGUCCUUGACAUUUAGUGAUGUCUUGAUUUAGGGAAUUUAAAUAAGCAAAGACUACCUGCUCCAGAUUCCCAGUGAUCUGUCUGGACCUACUGUAGGUCCUUGGGGAAUGGGUUCUGGCAAAGGCAGCUUGGAGUCAAACACAACUCUUACACUUUCACAGUGAUUCUGUUACUAUGGAAGUCAGAGAGGUUCAUUGACUUGGAACAAUUGUAUUUCAUUGACUUGGAAUUUGGAAAUGAUGUUGGUGUGCUUAUUAUUUUUAAAGUAGGUUGAGAUUUUCAGCAUUAUUUUACUACUUGAGAAAUUGGAAGAAAAAAAAAUCUAAUAUAUUUCUCCAUAAGCUCCUACCUAUAUAGUUCUUCAAGUCUUGAUAUGUUCAGUCCUC
rnacentral:lncRNA from 1 species